UACGUAGGGAGCAAGCGUUGUCCGGAAUCAUUGGGCGUAAAGCGCGUGUAGGCGGCUCGAUAAGUCUGCUGUGAAAGUCCAGGGCUCAACCCUGGGAUGCCGGUGGAUACUGUCGGGCUCGAGUCCGGAAGAGGCGAGUGGAAUUCCUGGUGUAGCGGUGAAAUGCGUAGAUAUCUGGAGGAAUACCGGUGGCGAAGGCGGCAUCCUGGACCGACAUUGACGCUGAAAACCGAAAGCUAGGGGAGCAAACGGG
rnacentral:rRNA from 1 species